rnacentral:rRNA from 1 species
GAUCAUGGCUCAGAUUGAACGGCUGGCGGCAGGCCUAACACAUGCAAGUCGAGCGGUAGAGAGAAGCUUGCUUCUCUUGAGAGCGGCGGACGGGUGAGUAAUGCCUAGGAAUCUGCCUGGUAGUGGGGGAUAACGUUCGGAAACGGAACGCUAAUACCGCAUACGUCCUACGGGAGAAAGCAGGGACCUUCGGGCCUUGCGCUAUCAGAUGAGCCUAGGUCGGAUUAGCUAGUUGGUGAGGUAAUGGCUCACCAAGGCGACGAUCCGUAACUGGUCUGAGAGGAUGAUCAGUCACACUGGAACUGAGACACGGUCCAGACUCCUACGGGAGGCAGCAGUGGGGAAUAUUGGACAAUGGGCGAAAGCCUGAUCCAGCCAUGCCGCGUGUGUGAAGAAGGUCUUCGGAUUGUAAAGCACUUUAAGUUGGGAGGAAGGGCAGUUACCUAAUACGUGAUUGUUUUGACGUUACCGACAGAAUAAGCACCGGCUAACUCUGUG